CAAACGGCGUCCCGCCUAAGAAGAUAAGAGGAACGGCCGGUGAGGCGGGGGGGAGAACUGCGCAGCCGCAAAAAAAAGUCCCGGAUGUAUACGGUUCACGACACAUCCCUUCGUCUGAGGUGGUGGAUAUUUACAGUCUUGUAGAGAGGCACAGAAACACCAAAGAAAAAGCUGUCGGCUGCCCGAUGAGCAUAGACUUCCUGCCGUAGAAGGGCUGCUUUGCUGAGCAGGAACUUCCGACCCGGCAAGGGAAGGGACAGUCGCCCCAAGAGAAGCAAAAGCAGCAAACAUGCAACUAAGAUUGUUAUUGUACAGAAACACUGAUUGGGAAUUGGAAGAAAAAAGAAGACUCUGCUCUCCCUGUGCUGUUUGUUAUUGAAGAAAGUUUUUCUUGGCCAAAUGUAAAAACUUUGCAAAGUGCCCACCCAGUUAGUGUUCAUCUUUGGGAUUAUUUUUCAGCAAACAUGGUCUCUAUCUACAGUGUGAAGAACGGGUCCUUAACUCUUUGGUGAUUGUUAGAUUUCAUUAAUAAGAAAUAAUUCCAAUAAACCUAUUUUCCAGCUG